rnacentral:rRNA from 1 species
GUCUUUAUGAUUAAAAUAUAAGGUCUGGCCUGCCCUUUGUAUAAAUUAACGGCCGCAGUAUUUUGACUGUGCUAAGGUAGCAUAAUAAAUAGGUUAUUGAUUGUGAUCUGGAAUGAAAGGUUUGACGUGAAAAUAACUUUCUUAUUUAUUUUUUUGAAUUUAAAUUGUUAGUAAAAAUGCUAGUAUUGAAUGAAAAGACGAGAAGACCCUAUUAAGUUUUACAUUUACAUAUCUAUAUUGGCUUGUUAAAAUAUUAAUUAAUGUUUGAUUGGGGCGAUCAUUGACACUAUCGUUAUAAAUUUAGUUUUUUAUAAAAAUUAAGAACCAGAAAUUUUGGGCAUUAGAAUAAAUUACUAUAGGGAUAACAGCGUAAUUAUAUUGUAGAGUUCAUAUUGAUAAUAUAGAUUACGACCUCGAUGUUGGAUCAGGAUGUUCUAUUGGGUGCAGGUGCUUAAUAAGAUGGUCUGUUCGACCUUUAAAUUCCUACG